CGGGAUUCCCCGAGUAAGGGCGACUGAAACGGGACCUAGCCCAGCGCAUAACCUCGCGGUUCGUGCAGAGCCGACGAGGGGUGUUGCGUAUCGGUGGAUCCGUCCCGCCCGUGCCCUACCGCCUAAGUCCAAGUAGGAAUACAGCCCCGCGGAGGGUGAGAGGCCCGUGUGGCGGCGCCCGCAAGGGCUACUAGGGCGCGGGCGGAGGGAUCGCUUCACCGGAGAGUCGGGUUGCUUAAUACUGCAGCCCUAAGAGAGGUGGUAAACUCCAUCUAAGGCUAAAUACAACCACGAGUCCGAUAGGAGACAAGUACCGUGAGGGAAAGUUGAAAAGGACUUUGAAGAGAGAGUUCAACAGUACGUGAAGCCGUUAGAAGCCUAAACGGGUGGAACCGCGAAGGUCGAACGAGGGCACUCACCUCGUCGGGCGGGCGGGACCCGGGGCGCUCCGACAGGCCGGCGCCGAAAGUAAGAAAUGAGUUGGAGCGCAGGAGCGCCCUGUCCGUCGCGUCCCGCUCCGGCGGGCGUACUUGUCCCUCCAGUAGGAGACGCCGCGAGCCGUGGCGGGGACCAGGAGGCCCACGCAGCCCGGAUUGGUACCCUCGGUCCGGAGGGGAAACCGCGGCUGGGAGUUAGAUGGUGGCCCUGCCACGGCCUGGCCCAGGGCGGCCGCUCUGCCUUCUGGGCGGCGGCGGCCGCCUCGCGGCGGAGGACGAAGUCGGUGAUCCACCCGACCCGUCUUGAAACACGGACCAAGGAGUCUAACAAGUGUGCGAGUCUAAGGGUCCGUCGAGACCCGGAGGCGCAAUGAAAGUGAGUGACCAAUGGCAGGCCGAUCCCCGAAAAUAUUAUUUUUCGGGGCGCAGGCCGGGGACUUGCCGCCCGGCGGCCGCCGACGGCCUCCCCCGCCCUCCGGGGCGGGACGGGGCUCCGGCGGUCCGCCGGCAAGUACCUCGAGAGCACACGCGUUGGGACCCGAAAGAUGGUGAACUAUGCCUGGCCAGGACGAAGCCAGAGGAAACUCUGGUGGAGGUCCGAACCAGUUCUGACGUGCAAAUCGAUUGUCAGAGCUGGGUAUAGGGGCGAAAGACUAAUCGAACCA
rnacentral:rRNA from 1 species